rnacentral:rRNA from 1 species
AUUGAACGCUGGCGGCAGGCUUAACACAUGCAAGUCGAACGAGUGGCGGACGGGUGAGUAAUGCUUGGGAAUCUAGCUUAUGGAGGGGGAUAACUACGGGAAACUGUAGCUAAUACCGCGUACCAUAGGAUGAGCCCAAGUGGGAUUAGGUAGUUGGUGGGGUAAAGGCUCACCAAGCCGACGAUCUCUAGCUGGUCUGAGAGGAUGACGAGCAACACUGGAACUGAGACACGGCCCAGACUCCAACGGGAGGCAGCGGUGGGGAAUAUUGCGCAAUGGGGGCAACCUGACGCAGCCAUGCCGCGUGAAGGAAGAAGGCCUUCGGGUUGUAAAGUUCUUUCAGUCGGGAGGCGUUACCGACAGAAGAAGCACCGGCUAACUCCGUGCCAGCAGCCGCGGUAAUAC